rnacentral:rRNA from 1 species
GACGAACGCUGGCGGUGUGCUUAACACAUGCAAGUCGAACGGUAAGGCCCUUUCGGGGGUACACGAGUGGCGAACGGGUGAGUAACACGUGAGUAACCUGCCCUCAUCUCUGGGAUAACAGUCGGAAACGGUUGCUAAUACUGGAUAUGAGCUUGCAAGGCAUCUUGUGGGUUGGAAAGAUUUUUUUGGUUGGGGAUGGACUCGCGGCCUAUCAGCUUGUUGGUGAGGUAGUGGCUCACCAAGGCUUCGACGGGUAGCCGGCCUGAGAGGGCGACCGGCCACAUUGGGACUGAGAUACGGCCCAAACUCCUACGGGAGGCAGCAGUGGGGAAUAUUGCACAAUGGACGGAAGUCUGAUGCAGCAACGCCGCGUGCGGGAUGACGGCCUUCGGGCUGUAAACCGCUUUCAAUUGUGACGAAGCUUUUUGUGACGGUAGCAGUAGAAGAAGCACCGGCUAACUACGUG